rnacentral:rRNA from 1 species
AUACGGAGGGUGCAAGCGUUAAUCGGAAUUACUGGGCGUAAAGCGCGCGCAGGCGGCUUGAUAAGUUGGAUGUGAAAGCCUACGGCUCAACCGUAGAACUGCAUCCAAAACUGUCAGGCUCGAGUGUGGGAGAGGAAGAUGGAAUUAGUUGUGUAGGGGUAAAAUCCGUAGAGAUAACUAGGAAUACCAAAAGCGAAGGCAAUCUUCUGGAACACUACUGACGCUGAGGCGCGAAGGCGUGGGGAGCAAACAGGAUUAGAAACCCCGGUAGUCC